GGGGGCCCGCACAAGCGGAGGAACAUGUGGUUUAAUUCGAUGAUACGCGAGGAACCUUACCUGGACUUAAAUGUAGAUUGACCGGUUUAGAAAUAGAUCUUUCCUUCGGGACAAUUUACAAGGUGCUGCAUGGUUGUCGUCAGCUCGUGCCGUGAGGUGUCGGGUUAAGUCCCAUAACGAGCGCAACCCCUAUCGUUAGUUGCUAGCAGGUAAUGCUGAGGACUCUAGCGAGACUGCCACCGUAAGGUGAGAGGAAGGUGGGGAUGACGUCAAAUCAGCACGGCCCUUACGUCCAGGGCUACACACGUGUUACAAUGGCAGGUACAAAGGGCAGCUACAUAGCGAUAUGAUGCUAAUCUCAAAAGCCUGUCACAGUUCGGAUUGGAGUCUGCAACUCGACUCCAUGAAGU
rnacentral:rRNA from 1 species